GUGCUAGUGCUUUGUCGGAGGGGUCACACCCGUUCUCAUUCCGAACACGGCAGUUAAGCCCUCCAGAGGCGAUGGUAGUCGAAAGGCGAGAGUAGCUCGGCGCUAGCAC
rnacentral:rRNA from 1 species